UACGGAAGGCAGCAGUGGGGAAUAUUGCACAAUGGGCGCAAGCCUGAUGCAGCCAUGCCGCGUGUAUGAAGAAGGCCUUCGGGUUGUAAAGUACUUUCAGUCGUGAGGAAGGUGUUAAGGUUAAUAACCUUAGCAAUUGACGUUAGCGACAGAAGAAGCACCGGCUAACUCCGUGCCAGCAGCCGCGGUAAUACGGAGGGUGCGAGCGUUAAUCGGAAUUACUGGGCGUAAAGGGCACGCAGGCGGUUAAUUAAGUUGGAUGUGAAUCCCCGGGCUUAACCUGGGAAUGGCAUUCAAGACUGGUUAGCUAGAGUCUUGUAGAGGGGGUAGAAUUCCAUGUGUAGCGGUGAAAUGCGUAGAGAUGUGGAGGAAUACCGGGUGGCGAAGGCGGCCCCUGGGACAAAGACUGACGCUCAUGUGCGAAAGCGUGGGGAGCGAAACAGGAUUAGAUACC
rnacentral:rRNA from 1 species